GGUUUUUCAAAGAUAAGUUGCUGUCUAAAAUAACUCCCAGAUCUUUUACUGUUGAACUAGUGGUUACAGAACAUCCGUCUAAAUGCAGGUUGAGAUGCUGGAGCUUCUGUAUACUAGUUUUUGGAGGUAACGGAGGUAGUUUUUUCGGAGGUGACGGAGAACACAAACCUCACCCUUUGAGAGUUCUGGAAGAACCACUUUAACAUCGUGAUAUGCCUCAGAAUUAUUGAUCAGGCCUGAAGGACUCGAACCCGGAGUGUCAGUGGAGGAGAAGAUUGUGUCUCUGGAAAAAUCCAUGGGCCUAGAGGUGGAUGAGAGAGAUGUGAACAAGCUCGUCGAGGAGCACUCUCAGGAACUGACGACUAAGGAGUUACAAGAGUAACAAUCGCAGCAGCAUACAGAGGUUCUGCAAGAAAUUGGUUUCGAGGAGGAGCCAGAGUUGAAGGAGGUUAUCUCUACAAGUGAGAUAAAGGAGAUCUUGGGAAUGUGGGAGAGAGUUUCACAAUUCGUGGAAAAGAAACACCCCGAAAAAGUUACAACUGGUCGUGCAUCAGAGCUAUUUAAUGACACUUGCCUAACUCAUUUCCGCAACAUUCUGAAAGGGAGGAAGAAACAAACCUCCUUGGACAGGUUUAAACGGCAUGCAUGUGAAAGUGAGGAAAGUGUGGCGAAAAAGACAAAGAUCAGUGAAGAGAAAAACAGUGAUGAAAAUUAAGCAAAAGUAACACCUUGUCAGGAAUCCCCCUGCCACGCCCCCUUCGGUGGCUGUCAAACCUGGGUGUUUGGGGAAUGCUCUGCUCCUUUUCUCAUGCGUGCCCCGCCCACACGGAGAUGCUCGCAAUCAGGCUUCAUAGAGAACACCUGAGGCUCGUUCACGCACUCAUCACAACGCCUAUACACUGUCAAAAAUCCAACUUGCAAAUUGUUAACUCAGUUUAAAAUUAUAAGUUAGGUGGACAUAUUUUUGAGGACAGUGUUGAGUUUACUCAUAAAAAAGAUUUAACUGCAUGUUUACUACUAUUUAGUCCAAUAAAAAUAAACAAUUAAGUUGGGAAAACGUAACAUUUUGAUUUCUUCAUUCAAGCGAUUCAGUUCCUGAUAUUGCGCAUGCGCAGUCUGUUUCCCUAGCAUUGUGCACAGGGUUUCCCCUCAUCAACUACAUUUUAGAAGGGGCUGGAUGUUCUCUGAUUCAGGUAAGCUUUCUUUAAGUUUUAUUACCUAAAUAAAUUACACAAAUGCUUAACGUAUAAUGUAACGUUGUUUUUGGAAAGACUAUUUUAAGGAAUGUAAUGAUAUUUUGCAAUAAGCUCAGACAGCUAGCAUACUUCAUUUGAAGGUCAUGUUCGGUUCACUUUGCAAAAUUUUAGUGAAAUGUUUUAAAAUACAUGAUUUUUGUGUCAGUUAUAGUUAUUACAAUAACCUGUAUUUUAAUGGAUUGUGUGUUGUGGAUGGAGUUAAUAGAAUCUCUAGUAUUUAAGUCAUUAAAGAAUCAAACGAAAGACAAACACAGUCAUACGCCUAGUCGCCUAAUAAAAUGCGAUCUACCUGAAUGAAGACCCUGAACACAAUCAACAAGGAAAGUCGUUAUUAUUAUUAAAAAGUGGGGAAAAACAGCAUUUUACAUUUCAGUAAGUUAUAGGGUAUUCUUAACCUUGUUAACCGUGUGGUUAUUGCUGAUCUUAGACGUAAAACGUAACGUGCUUUACAUAACAUCCGGUCUAAAAUACAGAAAUAUCAUGAAUUAUCAGCAAAUGUCUGGUAUUUCAGGAGCUUAGUGUUUUUUAGCAUAGCUCUUCUUAGCACCAUUUAACUAGUUCAAUGUAAUUUGUCAUUAUUAUUUAGCUUUGAAUGUGAUUCAUUGUAUAUUCUCAUUUUUUGUAUGUAAUAUUUAUGUUGUGUUUUAAACAAUUAAUGUCAAUUUAGAUGGAAUGUAUUACUGCACAUGUCAAACUGUUUGUUUUUCUUUUUAUAGGUUUGGAAUGCAGAUUUGCCCACAGUAGCAGAGAGGUCCUUUUGAAACACUACAGGCUUCUGCACUAUCGAGGGAGAUCCCGGCAGCAUCCUUGCUUGUAUACUAACUGCAUCGGCACUUUUAAAACUUUAGACGUGUCGUCACGUGUGAAUGGAUAUGUCCAAGAGUGGGUAUGUGAAACGAAUGUGUGGUGAGAAUGGCGGCCGAACAGUGGAGCAUCGGAUUCAAUUGAAACUAACAAUAUAUUUAACUGGUGUCAACAAAUGCCUGUUAAGAAAGUCAUACCCAUUUUGUUAAUGACAAAAAAGAUGUUUUACAGGUUUUUUUUUUUUAUAUCAUAUUCAACAAGGAAUUAUAUCAAAAUAUUAAUUUAAAAAACCCUUUAUUGACACACAUGUAUCAAUAAAAACAAUACAGAAAUGAA